rnacentral:rRNA from 1 species
GACGAACGCUGGCGGCGUGCUUAACACAUGCAAGUCGAACGGUAAGGCCCUUCGGGGUACACGAGUGGCGAACGGGUGAGUAACACGUGGGUGAUCUGCCCUGCACUUCGGGAUAAGACUGGGAAACUAGGUCUAAUACCGGAUAGGACCACUGCCUGCAUGGGGGGUGGUGGAAAGCUUUUGCGGUGUGGGAUGGGCCCGCGGCCUAUCAGCUUGUUGGUGGGGUGAUGGCCUACCAAGGCGACGACGGGUAGCCGGCCUGAGAGGGUGACCGGCCACACUGGGACUGAGAUACGGCCCAGACUCCUACGGGAGGCAGCAGUGGGGAAUAUUGCACAAUGGGCGCAAGCCUGAUGCAGCGACGCCGCGUGAGGGAUGACGGCCUUCGGGUUGUAAACCUCUUUCAGCACCGACGAAGCGCAAGUGACGGUAGGUGCAGAAGAAGGACCGGCCAACUACGUGCCAGCCGCCGCCGUAA